GUAAUAUUUUUCUGAAGGAAUCCUCUAACUUCAGCCACAUGGGAAAGAGAAACGAAGUUCACCAUAUCUCACAGUAAUAUGAAUUUUGCCAAAUUUCAUGGAAACAGACAGCUAACUUUUGAGGCUUUCAGGACACUUUUGGGUAAAUUCAGCUGUGAUAAGAGCAUCCACACAGGAAUGUAUUCCUCAAAAUGAAAAUCCUCGCCACAGUUUUUGUGAUGACAACAGAUAGACCUGUAUCUAAAUGGACCUGUGGGAGAGACAGGAGAGAUCAACAUACUGUGUGAGUUCACUUUCAAGGAAAGGCCAAACUCUUGCUGCA
ensembl:lncRNA